GGAACCGGCCGCGGCGCUGCAUUGUGGGAGCAGCAAGCGGCCGGGGGCGCGGGGCGUCUCGGCCCGGGAACAGCCGGGUUCGCGAAGCGGGGCGAGGACGGGGUCUUCGGAGGCUGGAGGCCAGCGAAAUCUGUCACAGCCCGGGCCGAGACUGUAAAACUGCCCGCCCUCAGCGGUCACCACCGAGUGGCAGGUUUUUUCCUCAGACAGAAAAGGGGGUGAAAAAAGAAAAAAAAAAGCCUUUCUGUCCCCGAGGACUGGUUUGAAUUGCUUUUCAUCUGGAGUAGCUGUGAUUCAGCGUCCCCCUUAGCAGCAAGUAUGACCGAGGCAGAAGACGAGGGGGAAAAAACGCUAAUGAAUCAGAUGUGGAUAUAUAGACAGAAAACCGUGCAUGGGAAGUACAAUGAGUUUGGAAGAGAAUUGAAAAGCCAUAGGUACCGGAUCAUAAUCCUCCUAGGACAUGGACAACAUUGGAGAGCUCUCUUCAGAGACCUCAACCUGAGCAAGACGGCUGUCAAAAGGACAGAAGAUUUGAGAAUGUAAUGUACUGAGUUAGAAGAUGCUGUUUGUCACUUUUAUCCCCUUCUUCAUCCUCCCAGCCACCUUAACACUACCCUUAGAGGCAAGAGAACAGAGCACUCUGGAUGGGCCUAGGCAGGCUGUGAAGUACAAGUGCCUGGCAUCAGUAUCUGUCUUUAGUGGUGGCACUGGUGCUGACUUUGGGCAGUUUAAUGUUUCCACAAGUGUUAAAGGGAACGAUGAUAUGGAAUACUUACCACAUGGGGUUGUUGAAAUACUUGCUGUGUUUGGCAUGUAGUAGACCUACAUCGUGUUAACUGUUAGCCUCAGUACACCUACUGGAACCAGAAGCUUCAGGUUAGAGGCCUGAUUUUUAGUGAGGGGCAUUUGUUUAUAUGGUGGCUUGUGGUAGAACAUUGAGUUGAUUAUGAGACCAGAAAUCCAGCCUUUCCCUUAGGAGCAUGAAAAGAAGGGACUUGAUGUCUUGGCGAUGAUUCCGAGUACCAGUGCCAGAGGUAGCUGUUAGUCCCCAGGUGGUGAGUAUUAGACAGAACCAUUUCCUUCCUAUAUGCGUUUGACUUUGUAUUUAUUUUUGGGUUUUGUUCAUUCUGCUGAUAAAUAUCCUAACUCAAAUAUUACUGCAAAUGAAAAUACUCAAAGCCAGGCCCCUGAUGUGUCAUUGUUAAAAGAAAGUGAGUGGGUUUUUUUUCAGAAUUUUAGUCCAGACUUGGCAUUAUUGUUCUGAAUGAGAGUUCUGGAUAGCAGGGCAGGGUUGAGCAAAAGAGUAAUAUUUAGAGAAUGUUUUGGUGUUGACUGCAAAUGCAUUUGUCACUUUGUCUGGUUGGCUUAGCAUCCCAGAUUGGGUAGAAAAAAUUUCUUACAAGUCAUAUGGCAGCUUUCCAAAAAGUCUUUAGAGCUAGGCACAAAUUAUCAAGCUGCUUACCCCAACCUAAGCCCUCUAACUGAGGAAUCUGAACAGUUGUGAGAUGCCUGUUCAGUGCAAUGUUGCAUAGGCAUGAAACAGUGUGCUCCAUCCAUAAAAUCAGAGGCUGCCAAUAAAGUUCCUUGUCAUUGCAAAACCUAAGCUGAACACAUGAUAACCAGAGCCAGUUGAGCUGAAAGGAGUCAUAGAACUCACGUCAUCCAAUCCCUUCAUUUUCCACUCAAGGAAUCAAAUCUUCAGAUGUCGUCUAGUGACCUGCUCAAGAUAAUGCAACUAAUUGGGGUCAGAGUUAAGACUUGAGACAGAAUACAAACAAUUAUUCUUAAAAACCUCCUCUACCAUUUUUUAAAAUUUUAUUAAACUUCACACCAUUUCUACCGUUUGUCUCACCAGCUUUUACCUCUUUGCAAAACAAUUAAUGUUGCAAUAAGCUAGAAUAGCAGAAAUUGGUGAGAAAUAUUAUGCCAACAUAUUUGGUGUUGUCUUAGUGUCUCUCAAACUUCCAAAACCAUUUGAUUAAAUAGUUUGCAGCCAAUGGGGGAAUUCGUUUAUUUUCAGAGGGGCAUUUUUACAUUCAGCAGUUAAAGAAAUCUUUGUUCCAGGUCUGGGCUGUAAAGGUUGGCUUCUCUAUACCCAUGUUGAGGUCUGUGGCUGCCUAUGCCACUGUUAGACCAAGUAUGGCUUUUAAGCAAUUUGAGACCAUUUUAGAGGAGCCCAAAUGUCAUAUGUCUGUGAAUAUAGAAUGUGCAGUUGUCAAGUGAGAGAAACCAGCAUCCCUUGGUGAGCUCCACAGUCAAUAAUCUGUGAGCAUUCAGUCAGGGUUGCAAAGAACAGCCCUCCAUGGUAUUUAAGAUGCAACUCACCCCCAGAUCAAGCUGCUCAAAAUUGUCUUUUUACUCAAGAUCAAGCAUCCUUAGAAGUCAUGUUGUAAGCAGUAGGGAAACUAUCAAGUUGAACUAAAA